GCGCAGGGGCGGGGGGCUAACCAUGCAACGUCGAACGAUGAUCCCAGCUUGCUGGGGGAUUAGUGGCGAACGGGUGAGUAACACGUGAGUAACCUGCCCUUAACUCUGGGAUAAGCCUGGGAAACUGGGUCUAAUACCGGAUAUGACUCCUCAUCGCAUGGUGGGGGGUGGAAAGCUUUAUUGUGGUUUUGGAUGGACUCGCGGCCUAUCAGCUUGUUGGUGAGGUAAUGGCUCACCAAGGCGACGACGGGUAGCCGGCCUGAGAGGGUGACCGGCCACACUGGGACUGAGACACGGCCCAGACUCCUACGGGAGGCAGCAGUGGGGAAUAUUGCACAAUGGGCGAAAGCCUGAUGCAGCGACGCCGCGUGAGGGAUGACGGCCUUCGGGUUGUAAACCUCUUUCAGUAGGGAAGAAGCGAAAGUGACGGUACCUGCAGAAGAAGCGCCGGCUAACUACGUGCCAGCAGCCGCGGUAAUACGUAGGGCGCAAGCGUUAUCCGGAAUUAUUGGGCGUAAAGAGCUCGUAGGCGGUUUGUCGCGUCUGCCGUGAAAGUCCGGGGCUCAACUCCGGAUCUGCGGUGGGUACGGGCAGACUAGAGUGAUGUAGGGGAGACUGGAAUUCCUGGUGUAGCGGUGAAAUGCGCAGAUAUCAGGAGGAACACCGAUGGCGAAGGCAGGUCUCUGGGCAUUAACUGACGCUGAGGAGCGAAAGCAUGGGGAGCGAACAGGAUUAGAUACCCUGGUAGUCCAUGCCGUAAACGUUGGGCACUAGGUGUGGGGGACAUUCCACGUUUUCCGUACCGUAGCUAACGCAUUAAGUGCCCCGCCUGGGGAGUACGGCCGCAAGGCUAAAACUCAAAGGAAUUGACGGGGGCCCGCACAAGCGGCGGAGCAUGCGGAUUAAUUCGAUGCAACGCGAAGAACCUUACCAAGGCUUGACAUGAACCGGAAACACCUGGAAACAGGUGCCCCGCUUGCGGUCGGUUUACAGGUGGUGCAUGGUUGUCGUCAGCUCGUGUCGUGAGAUGUUGGGUUAAGUCCCGCAACGAGCGCAACCCUCGUUCUAUGUUGCCAGCGCGUUAUGGCGGGGACUCAUAGGAGACUGCCGGGGUCAACUCGGAGGAAGGUGGGGACGACGUCAAAUCAUCAUGCCCCUUAUUGCUUGGGGUUCACGCAUGCUACAAUGGCCAGGUACAAAGGGUUGCGGAACUUGUGGUGUGGAAUUAUAUCCCAAAAAGCAGGUCUCAUUUCGGAUUGGGGCCUGCAAAUCCGACCCAUGAUUUCCGAGCCCCAAUAAUACGAAAUACAUAACCUUUCGGUGAAUACUUCCCUGGGCCUGGAACACCCCCCGUCUAUGCCCAAAAUUUGGUAUUCUCAAACCCGGGGCCUGACCUUCGGAGAGGUGUGCAAUGGCGGUCGAGGGGGACCCGGCUUAAGGGCAACCCCUGCGAUACAGAAAAAAAGCAGUGAAAUUAAAAAGCAAUUAGAAAAUUUAAGAAGGGGGGGGGGGGGGGGGGGGGGGGGGGGGGGGGGGGGGGGGGGGGGGGGGCCGGGAGGGGGGAUGGGGGGGGGGGGGGGGGGGGGGGGGGGGGGGGGGGGGGGGGGGGGGGGGGGGGGGGGGGGGGGGGGGGGGGGGGGGG
rnacentral:rRNA from 1 species